AGAGUUUGAUCCUGGCUCAGGAUAAACGCUGGCGGCGUGCCUAACACAUGCAAGUCGAACGCCCUAAGCAAUUAGGGAGUGGCGGACGGGUGAGGAACACGUGGGUGAUCUACCCAGAGGUGAGGAAUACCGGCGAGAAAUCGCCGACAAAACCGCAUAGGCUCGGGGAACCGAGCAAAGUCGCAAGACGCCUGUGGAUGAGCCUGCGUCCGAUUAGCUAGUUGGUGGGGUAAAAGCUCACCAAGGCGACGAUCGGUAGCUGGUCUGAGAGGACGAUCAGCCACACUGGGAUUGAGAACGGCCCAGACUCCUACGGGGGGCAGCAGUGAGGAAUUUUCGUCAAUGGUCGCAAGACUGAACGAGCAACGCCGCGUGCAGGAAGAAGGUUUUCGGAUCGUAAACUGCUUUUCUGUGGGAAGAGAAUGGACGGUACCACAGGAAGAAGCCCCGGCUAACUACGUGCCAGCAGCCGCGGUAAUACGUAGGGGGCGAGCGUUGUCCGGAGUUACUGGGCGUAAAGGGCGUGCAGGCGGUGCGGCAAGUUUGGAGUGACAGUUCCCGGCUUAACUGGGGAAGGCCUCUGAAAACUGCUGGACUUGAGGGCCAGAGAGGGACAUAGAAUUCCGGGUGGAGUGGUGAAAUGCGUAGAUAUCCGGAGGAAUACCAAAGGCGAAGGCAGUGUCCUGGCUGGCAUCUGACGCUGAGGCGCGAAAGCUAGGGGAGCGAACAGGAUUAGAUACCCUGGUAGUCCUAGCCGUAAACGAUGACCACUAGAUGUGCGGGGUAUCGACCCCCUGCGUGUCGGAGAUAACUUUUUAAGUGGUCCGCCUGGGGAGUACGGUCGCAAGAUUAAAACUUAAAGGAAUUGACGG
rnacentral:rRNA from 1 species